rnacentral:rRNA from 1 species
ACUCAAAUGAAUUGACGGGGACCCGCACAAGCGGUGGAACAUGUGGUUUAAUUCGACGGUAAACGAAGAACCUUACCAGGGCUUGACAUGUAGCUGCAAGCUGUCCGAAAGGAUGGCCGCCUUCGAGGGUGCUACACAGGUGCUGCAUGGUUGCCGUCAGCUCGUGCCGUGAGGUGUACCCUUAAGUGGGGUAACGAGCGCAACCCCUAUGUCGUGUUGCAAUUUCACGACAGACUGCCUCGGUCAACGAGGAGGAAGGUGGGGACGACGUCAAAUCAGCAUGGCUCUUACGUCCUGGGCCACACACGUGUUACAAUGGUUGGUACAAUGGGUAGCCAAGCCGAGAGGCGGAGCUAAUCCCACCAAAACCAACCUCAGUUCGGAUCGAAGGCUGCAACUCGCCUUCGUGAAGCUGGAAUCGCUAGUAAACGCCGGUCAGCUAUACGGCGUUGAAUACGUUCUCGGGUCUUGUACACACCGCCCGU